rnacentral:rRNA from 1 species
AUUGAACGCUGGCGGCAUGCCUUACACAUGCAAGUCGAACGGCAGCACGGGAGCAAUCCUGGUGGCGAGUGGCGAACGGGUGAGUAAAGUAUCGGAACGUGCCCAGUCGGGGGGGAUAACGUAGCGAAAGUUACGCUAAUACCGCAUACGAUCUAUGGAUGAAAGCGGGGGAUCGCAAGACCUCGCGCGAUUGGAGCGGCCGAUAUCAGAUUAGGUAGUUGGUGGGGUAAAGGCUCACCAAGCCGACGAUAUGUAGCUGGUCUGAGAGGACGACCAGCCACACUGGGACUGAGACACGGCCCAGACUCCUACGGGAGGCAGCAGUGGGGAAUUUUGGACAAUGGGCGAAAGCCUGAUCCAGCCAUGCCGCGUGCAGGAUGAAGGCCUUCGGGUUGUAAACUGCUUUUGUACGGAACGAAAAGGUUUGGCCUAAUAAGCUGAGCUCAUGAUGGUACCGUAAGAAUAAGCACCGGCUAACUACGUGCCAGCCGCCGCUGUAA